GGAUUAGAUACCCUGGUAGUCCACGCCGUAAACGAUGAUAACUGGUUAUGGGCGACACAUUGUCCGUGACUGAGCGAAAGCAUUAAGUUAUCCACCUGGGGAGUACGCCGGCAACGGUGAAACUCAAAGGAAUUGACGGGGGCCCGCACAAGCGGAGGAACAUGUGGUUUAAUUCGAUGAUACGCGAGGAACCUUACCCGGGCUUAAAUGGGAGAUGACCGGUUUAGAGAUAGACCUUUCCUUCGGGACAUUUUUCAAGGUGCUGCAUGGUUGUCGUCAGCUCGUGCCG
rnacentral:rRNA from 1 species